rnacentral:misc_RNA from 1 species
GUGGCCUGCACGUCGGACGGUGAGCGGCAGAUCAAGGCUCAGGGCGCGCGAAUCAGGGCAGUCGUUCGACGGUGUCUGCGGCGGGGCAAACAGGGGUUGCUGGGUUCAAGCAGACCUGGGCGGCGGGAAAUCCACGGAGCAGAUCGCCGGCACGGUCUGAGCAGGGCGGCGGCGCGAACCUUCACUGAGCAGGGCCGUGCAGUUAUCGGCGGUCGUCGACGG